AUACGUAGGUGGCAAGCGUUGUCCGGAAUUAUUGGGCGUAAAGCGCGCGCAGGUGGUUCCUUAAGUCUGAUGUGAAAGCCCCCGGCUCAACCGGGGAGGGUCAUUGGAAACUGGGGAACUUGAGUGCAGAAGAGGAUAGUGGAAUUCCAAGUGUAGCGGUGAAAUGCGUAGAGAUUUGGAGGAACACCAGUGGCGAAGGCGACUGUCUGGUCUGUAACUGACACUGAGGCGCGAAAGCGUGGGGAGCAAACAGGAUUAGAUCCCCUGGUAGUCCACGCCGUAAACGAUGAGUGCUAAGUGUUGGGGGGUUUCCGCCCCUCAGUGCGGCAGCUAACGCAUUAAGCACUCCGCCUG
rnacentral:rRNA from 1 species